GGUCGUUUUAGCUCGUUCCCGCUGAGAGUCGGUUAGAGCAUCGUGCUAAUAACGCGAGGGUCGCAGGUUCGAGCCCUGCAUCGACCA
rnacentral:tRNA from 1 species